GCGCCAGGCGACUGGGUCUGAGGAGGCAGGAGUUAUUCAUUCCCUUAAGCUUUCAGGCCGGGGGGAGAAUCUUUCAGGUGGUAGCUGCAAGAACUCUUAGUAUGUUGACCUCACCUCUGCCUUCCACAUACCACUACCAGUGAGGAAUUAGGAAUGCAUGAGAAGAGUGUCCAAGAAGAGUGUCCUCAUUCAUGCAAGGCUUAAGAGAGAAUGCAGGUCAACAUCACCAUGUCAAUCAGAGAAUACUUCUGUUGGGUUGAAUGACUCUCUGCCCCCAGGAAAGAGAUCUUCAUGUAAACAGAGUCCCUCUUAUUGGCUGAAGUGAAGAGUCAUUCUGAGGCAUCUCAAGAUGAAGGUUUCCUAUUUGUGAUUAUGAAAAAAAUGUCAAGAACAAGUCCCUUGGUGUUCUUAGACCAAAGUCAGAACAACAGACCUAAACCAAUAGAGGAGCAUCCUACAAAAUAGCUGACCAGUCCUCAAAAUGAACAAGAUUUUCCAAAAUAAGGAAAGACUGAGAAACUGUCACAGUCAAGAAGAUCCUAAGGAGACGUGACUCCUAGAUUUAAUGUGGUCUCAUCAAUGGAACCCUAGAACACAAAAAGGACAUUAGGUAAAAAAAUAAGGAAGUCUAAGUAAAUUAUAGAUUUUAGUUUGUAACAAUGUAUUAAUAUUAUUUCAUUAAAUGUAACGUGGCACACUAAGAUGUUAGUAAGAGGAAAUACUGGAUGGAGGGUACAUGGGAAUUUUCUAAGAUAUCUUACAAUUUUUCUGUAAAUCUAAACUACUCUAUAAUUAAUAAAGUUGAUUUAAAGAAA
rnacentral:lncRNA from 1 species